rnacentral:rRNA from 1 species
CCUACGGGAGGCAGCAGUGGGGAAUAUUGCACAAUGGGGGGAACCCUGAUGCAGCAACGCCGCGUGAGUGAAGAAGUCCUUCGGUAUGUAAAGCUCUAUCAGCAGGGAAGAAGAUGACGGUACCUGAGUAAUAAUCCCCGGCUAACUACGUUCCAGCAGCCGCGGGACUACGUAGGGGGCAAGCGUUAUCCGGAUUUACUGGGCGUAAAGGGAGCGUAGACGGUGGGACAAGUCUGAAGUGAAGGCCCGGGGCUCAACCCCGGGACUGCUUUGGAAACUGGCUGACUGGAGUGCAGGAGAGGCAAGCGGAAUUCCUAGUGUAGCGGUGAAAUGCGUAGAUAUUAGGAAGAACACCAGUGGCGAAGGCGGCUUGCUGGACAGUAACUGACGUUGAGGCGCGAAAGCGUGGGGAGCAAACAGGAUUAGAUACCCCUGUAGUC